rnacentral:lncRNA from 1 species
AUGAAGGGGGAUGGGGCUGAAGCAAGGAUUGUUGGGGCUGUGCCAGGGGGAACAAUGGCAAGGCCGGGGGAUAAGGCAAUGGCCCAGCUGAAGUGCAUCUACAUUAAUGCAUGUGGCAUGGGUAACAAACAGGAGGAGCUGGAAGCCAUCGUGCAGCAGGCAGGCUACGACUUGGCUGCCAUCACGGAGACGUGGUGGGACCAGUCUCAUGACUGGAGUGCUGCGAUGUCUGGCUAUAAGCUCUUCAGAAGGGACAGGCAGCACAGAAGGGGUGGUGGUGUGGCUCUCUAUAUUAGAGAAUCUUUCGAUGUUGUGGAACUCAAGGCUGGGAAUGACAAGGUCGAGUCCCUGUGGGUUAGGAUCAGCAGAAAGGCCAACAAGACUAGCAUCCUGCUCAGGGUCUAUUAUAGACCGCCGAACCAGGAUGAGGAGACGGAUGAGGAGUUCUACAGGCAGCUGACAGAAGUUGCGAAAUUGUCAGCGCUUGUACUCGUGGGGGACUUCAACUUCCCUGACAUAUCCUGGAAGCACAACACAGCCCAGAGAAAGCAGUCUAGGAGGUUUCUGGAGAGCAUUUCAGGAACACAGCUGGUUAGUGAGCCUACCAGGGCCAGGAAGGGGACCAGUAAAACCGCUGUAUUGGACUUCCAGAGGGCUGACUUUGAGUUGCUCAGGACACUGGUUGGUAGAGUCCCUUGGGAGGCGGUUCUGAAGGGCAGAGGGGUCCAGGAGGGCUGGGCGCUCUUCAAGAGGGAAAUCUUCAUGGCGCAGGAACAGUCUGUCCCCACGUGCCCAAAGAUGAGCCAGCGUGGAAGAAGACCAGCCUGGCUCAACAGAGAAUUGCAACUUGAGCUUAGGAGAAAAAAGAGGGUUUAUAAUCUUUGGAAAAAAGGGCAGGCCACUGAGGAGGACUAUAAGGAUGUUGCAAGGCUGUGCAGGGACAAAAUUAGAAAGGCCAAAGCUCAUCUGGAGCUCAAUCUGGCUACUGCUGUUAAAGACAACAAAAAAUCUUUUUACAAAUACAUCAAUGCAAAACAGAGGACUAAGGAGAAUCUCCAGCCUUUACUGGAUGCGGGGGUAAACCUUGUUACAAAAGAUGAGGAAAAGGUGGAGGUCUUAAUGCCUUCUUUGCCUCAGUCUUUACCAGCAAUACUGGUUGUUCUCUGGAUACCCAGUACCCUGAGCUGGUGGAAGGGGAUGGGGAGCAGAAUGUGGCCCUCACUUUCCAUGAGGAAAUGGUUGGCGACCUGCUACAGCACUUGGAUGUGCGCAAGUUGA